UUAAGUUCAGCGGGUAGUCCUACCUGAUUUGAGGCCAAAGCUUUAUAGUGUCUGUCCACGAGGGACGAUUAGAAGCAGCACAUUAAAGAAGCGGCCUAAGGCGACGGCGCAGAUAAUUAUCACACCAUGCCGAGCACGCUAACAAAGCGCAGGCUAAUGAAUUUCAGGACGAGCCAACUACGGCACGGUCCAAUUCCACC
rnacentral:misc_RNA from 1 species